rnacentral:rRNA from 1 species
UACGUAAGGAUGCAAGGACGUUGUCCGGAGUUUACUGGGACGUAAAGGGCGCGCAGGCGGCACUACAAGUACUGGGUGAAAUCUCCCUGCUCAACGGGGAGGGUGCUUAGUAGACUGUAGAGCUAGAGGUGGGUAGAGGGUGGUGGAAUUGACUGGUGUAGCGGUGAAAUGCGUAGAGAUCAGCAGGAACACCCGUGGCGAAGGCGGCCACCUGGGCCUAACCUGACGCUGGAGGCGCGAAGGCUAGGGGAGCGAACGGG